rnacentral:rRNA from 1 species
GCUGGUUAGCAUACCACCCUGCAUCCCACUGCUGGCUUGCUUCUGAAGCUAAGCAGGGUAGGUCCUGGUCAGUC